AGAGUUUGAUCCUGGCUCAGGACGAACGCUGGCGGCGUGCUUAACACAUGCAAGUGGAGCGACGAACCAGGGCUUGCCCUGGGGCAGAGCCGCGAACGGGUGAGUAACACGUGGGUAACGUGCCCCAAUGAUCGGGACAACCCGGGGAAACCCGGGCUAAUACCGAACGUGCUCUCCUCACACCAGUGAGGGGUGGAAAGGAAGCUUCGGCCUCCGCAUUGGGAUCGGCCCGCGGCCCAUUAGCUUGUUGGUGAGGUAACGGCUCACCAAGGCUGCGAUGGGUAGCUGGUCUGAGAGGACGAUCAGCCACACUGGGACUGGGACACGGCCCAGACUCCUACGGGAGGCAGCAGUGGGGAAUCUUGCGCAAUGCGCGAAAGCGUGACGCAGCAACGCCGCGUGGGGGAAGAAGGCCUUCGGGUUGUAAACCCCUUUCAGGAGGGACGAAGGUUGGGCGGUUAAUAGCCGACCUGACUGACGGUACCUCCAGAAGAAGCCCCGGCUAACUACGUGCCAGCAGCCGCGGUAAUACGUAGGGGGCAAGCGUUGUCCGGAAUUAUUGGGCGUAAAGCGCGUGUAGGCGGUCCGGUAAGUCGGCUGUGAAAGUCCAGGGCUCAACCCUGGGAUGCCGGUCGAUACUGCCGGACUAGAGUUCGGAAGAGGCGAGUGGAAUUCCCGGUGUAGCGGUGAAAUGCGCAGAUAUCGGGAGGAACACCAAUGGCGAAGGCAGCUCGCUGGGACGUUACUGACGCUGAGACGCGAAAGCGUGGGGAGCAAACAGGAUUAGAUACCCUGUAGUCCACGCCGUAAACGAUGGGCACUAGGUGUGGGAGGUGUCGACUCCUCCCGUGCCGGAGCUAACGCAUUAAGUGCCCCGCCUGGGGGAGUACGGGCCGCAAGGCUAAAACUCAAAUGAAUUGACGG
rnacentral:rRNA from 1 species